UCUAGAAGAACAAGAAAUGUGGCGUCAGUGGGAACUUGAAAGAGGUUUAACAAUGAUGGUCUCAGAUGAUGCUCUGUGUUCUCAAGAUCAAGGAGAUCAUCUUAAACAUCAAAAAGUAAAAGAAAAAAGAAAUUCUAAUGAAAGAAUCAAACAAAGAAAUGUACCAAUCGAUGAGAUGAGUAUGGGCGAACUGUACCGAAGGAGAAACUACUGGAUGAAAAAGUUGUUUGAAGUAGAAGAAGGUGAUGCAGAAAGGUGGGGUCAUCAAGGAUAUAAAGAACUUUAUCCAGAAGAAUUUAAUUCACCAGAAGUUUCUGUGAGUGAUUCUACAAAAUCAUCAAAAGAAAAACACAAAAGGAAGAAGAAAAAGAGAAGAAAAAAAUGUAAAAGAGAAUCAUCUUUAUCUAGUGACAGUAAGAAAACCAAGAAAGAAUGGAAGGAAAUAAAAACAAAGAAAAGACGUGUGUGUUGUGAAAAAAACUCGGUAGGAGUUAACUCUACUAACAGUGAGACAGCUUCACAAGUAUCAACAGAGAAAAUUAUAAAAAAGCAAAAACAUAAUGGUUCUAAAUCUCAUGAGAAAAAACAUAAACAAUACAGCCAACGGAAGAAGAAAAAAAAGACUUCUGAUAGAAAGAAACAGUGAUUACUGUGAUCUAGCUUUUCUCAACUAGCACUGCCAUCUUUCGACACAAAUUUUCAGCACAUGCCACUAGCCUUCCACCUCCUGCUUCUGCAUAUCCACAUGCAAAUGAUCAUGCAGCUGCUCUCCACAAAUAGGAGCGAGACACCACUCCAAUCAUAACCAGUGCCUUCUUCACAUCUGCACUCGUUAAUCACCUCUCGAUUGGCAGUUGUACUGUACAGACAUGCUGAUUUUUGCUCACAGGUACUGAAGCCCAAAGUUUAGUGUUAUAAGCCCACUGACUUACCUCCGAGGCUGCUAAUUUGUUCUCAUGACAGCUGUCAAUUUAUCUGGUGUACAGAUUCAAAAUUGCUAUCAAAGAAUUCAUCUUGACUAACCUAGUGAAUUAUUUUUACAUACUCAUACAGUGUAUGCUUUGUGCAUGUUAAUGUUGUGUUCUAAGCUGAAUAUUUGAAAUAAAAAUUCAGUGAAAUAGUGACAAAAGCUCCAGCAGAAAUUUAGGAUUAACUUUCAUUAUACUUUGAGUCUUCAGCUACAAAAAAAAUAACAGUAAAAAUUAAACUUAAGAGAUUUUUCAACUUGGUAUGUGCAGAAGAAGCUUGUGCAUUAGGUAAUUCAAUAUCAUUAUUUGAGCUAGUUAAACAUGGUUCAGAGAGCAAAAAAAUUAAAUAACAUGUUAACUGUUAAGGAUAAGUAACUGUAAUUUUCUGUUAAAAUAUUCUAUCAUUUUAGCAAAAAACAAAGGGUAAUUUAGAUUUUUUUGUGUGUAUCUGAUGGGUAGGAAGCAAGUCAAAUGCGAAUUCAUAUAAUGUUAGGGUAGAGAAAUUUUUAUUAAAUUUUACUGCAAACUUUUUAUAUUAAUUUAGGAAGUUAUGCAAAUGACCUUUCAUUUAGACAUAUCUUUUAUAAAGAAGUUUUUUUUGUUUUUGUUUUUUGUCAAUAAAAGCUUGCCAAAAUAUAGAGUUAAAUGCU
rnacentral:misc_RNA from 1 species